GACGAACGCUGGCGGCGUGCUUAACACAUGCAGGUCGAACGGAAAGGCCCAGCUUUCGGGGUGCGCGCGUGUCGAGAAGGGGUGUAAAACGUGGGUGUUCCGCGCCUAACUCCUGGGUAUGACUGCAGGAAUCGGGGGAUUAUAGCGGAUAGGAACCGUUGCGGCUCGGUGGUGGUUGGUUAGUUUCGGCGGUUGGGGAUGGGCUCGCGGCCUAUCAGCUUGUUGGUGGGGUAGUGGCUUACCAAGGCUUUGACGGGUAGCCGGCCUGAGAGGGUGACCGGCCACAUUGGGACUGAGAUACGGCCCAGACUCCUACGGGAGGCAGCAGUGGGGAAUAUUGCACAAUGGGCGGAAGCCUGAUGCAGCGACGCCGCGUGGGGGAUGACGGCCUUCGGGUUGUAAACCUCUUUCGACAGGGACGAAGCGUGGGUGACGGUAAUUGUAAAAGAAGCACCGGCUAACUACGUG
rnacentral:rRNA from 1 species